rnacentral:rRNA from 1 species
UCAUUAAAUCAGUUACUAUCCACUGGAUAUUAACUAUCUACAUGGAUAACUGUGGUAAUUCCAGAGCUAAUACGUGCAACAUGCCUUGACCUUACGGGAUAGGAGCAAUUUAUUAGACCAAGAUCAACGGGACCUCUCGGGGUACCUUGUGAAUGGUGACUCUGAAUAACUACGCUGAUCGCAUGGCCUCUGUGCCGGCGAUGAGUCCUUUGAGUAACUGCCUUAUCAACUAGAUGGUAGGUUAGACGCCUACCAUGGUUGUAACGGGUAACGGGGAAUCAGGGUUCGAUUCCGGAGAGGGAGCCUGAGAAACGGCUACCACAUCCAAGGAAGGCAGCAGGCACGCAAAUUACCCACUCUUAGCACGAGGAGGUAGUGACGAAAAAUACCGGUACGGGACUCUUAGGAGGCCCCGUAAUCGGAAUGAGUACGAUCUAAAUCCUCUAACGAGGAUCUAUUGGAGGGCAAGUCUGGUGCCAGCAGCCGCGGUAAUUCCAGCUCCAAUAGCGUAUAUUAAAGUUGUUGCGGUUAAAAAGCUCGUAGUUGGAUCUCAACUCAUGUUAGAUGGUCCACCUCACGGUGGUUACUGUUUGACUGAGUUACCUACGGAUUUGUCUCUUGAUUCUCUUAACCGAGUGUCUUGAGCGAUCCGUUCGUUUACUUUGAACAAAUUAGAGUGCUUAAAGCAGGCAUCUCGCCCGAAUAAUCUUGCAUGGAAUAAUAGAAUAGGACUUCGAGUCUAUUCUGUUGGUCUUCGGAUCCGAAGUAAUGAUU